rnacentral:rRNA from 1 species
GAUGAACGCUGGCGGCGUGCCUAAUACAUGCCAGUCGAGCGAACGGACGAGAAGCUUGCUCCUCUGAUGUUAGCGGCGGACGGGUGAGUAACACGUGGAUAACCUACCUAUAAGACUGGGAUAACUUCGGGAAACCGGAGCUAAUACCGGAUAAUAUUUUGAACCGCAUGGUUCAAUAGUGAAAGACGGUCUUGCUGUCACUUAUAGAUGGAUCCGCGCUGCAUUAGCUAGUUGGUAAGGUAACGGCUUACCAAGGCAACGAUGCAUAGCCGACCUGAGAGGGUGGUCGGCCACACUGGAACUGAGACACGGUCCAGAGUCCUACGGGAGGCAGCAGUAGGGAAUCUUCCGCAAUGGGCGAAAGCAUGACGGAGCAACGGCACGUGAGUGAUGAAGGUCUUCGGAUCGUAAAACUCUGUUAUUAGGGAAGAACAUAUGUGUAAGUAACUGUGCACGUCUUGACGGUACCUAAUCAGAAAGCCACGGCUAACUACGUG